UGAGAAGAAGGGAGAGGGGGCAAUAUAAGGGUAGGGUAUAAAGCGGUACAAACUACUAUGUAUAAAAUAAGCU